rnacentral:rRNA from 1 species
GACAGACGGAUCAAAUUAAGAUUUGUACAGUAAAAAGGGGGUUAAGAAUGGUGAUGAGUUUGAGAGAAAUAUUAUGUUUCCUAAAAAGGUUAAAUUUGAAUAGGAAAAAUUAAUCUUUUGAUUUCUUAGUUUUGAGGCCCCGAAAUUUUAACAUAAGACCGGGAUUAGAUACCCCGUUAUUUGAACCUUAAAUUUUAAUUGUUAUAAUAAUUUACUUGAGCAUUACGAGUGCAGGCAGAUAAGUUUAGACUGAAUAAUUUGUUUGUUCUACCUUAAAACUCAAAAAACUUGGCGGUGCUUUAAAUCCUCCCAGGGGAACCUGUCCUAUAAUUGAUAAUCCACAAUUUAACUUUCCUUUUAUUGAAAGUCUUAUGACCUUCAGCUUGUAUACCGUCGUCGCCAGAUUACCUUUAAGAGUAACAAAGUUAUCGGGGAGAGAAGAAAUGCUAGUGUGGUAAAAUAAUUUACCAUAGUGUAUUUAUCUCUGAACGUCAGAUCAAGGUGCAGCCAAUGAAAAGGUAGUGAUGGGUUACAAUAGCUAUUUGCUAUACGAAUUUCUUACUGUAACAGUAGCUUGAAGGAGGACUUGGAAGUAAUUAGUAGAGUAAGAGAGCUCUGAUGAAUAGUGGCUCUAAGGUGUGU